AAGUCGUAACAAGGUUUCCGUAGGUGAACCUGCGGAAGGAUCAUUAACAAGAAGAAUUAUGGUUUACUGAAUGUUGGUUAGUGUGGAUGAUUGGGAAACUGAUUGUCCAUGCUUUCUGGCAUUCUUUUAUAUCAAACACUAAUGUGAAUAGGAAUAUGUGGCAAAAAUAAUGGAUGGAAUAACAACCAUUUUUUAUUAAACUCUUUAAACCUCAAACAAAAGAUAAACAAAAAUAAAAUCCAAUGUCAAUUGGAAAUAAAAAAAAGUAACAAAAUGAACAACUUUUAACAAUGGAUAUCUUGGUUCUCGC
rnacentral:misc_RNA from 1 species